UUAAAUUGAAGAGUUUGAUCAUGGCUCAGAUUGAACGCUGGCGGCAGGCCUAACACAUGCAAGUCGAACGGUAACAGGAAGCAGCUUGCUGUUUCGCUGACGAGUGGCGGACGGGUGAGUAAUGUCUGGGAA
rnacentral:rRNA from 3 species